GACAGAGGGUGCAAACGUUGCUCGGAAUCAUUGGGCGUAAAGCGCGUGUAGGCGGUCCGGUAAGUCCGCUGUGAAAGUCGGGGGCUCAACCCUCGAAUGCCGGUGGAUACUGUCGGGCUAGAGUGCGGAAGAGGCGAGUGGAAUUCCUGGUGUAGCGGUGAAAUGCGCAGAUAUCAGGAGGAACACCAAUUGCGAAGGCAGCUCUCUGGGACGGUACUGACGCUGAGACGCGAAAGCGUGGGGAGCGAACAGG
rnacentral:rRNA from 1 species